rnacentral:rRNA from 1 species
AGUCGAACGCAUCCUUCGGGAUGAGUGGCGCACGGGUGAGUAACACGUGGGAACGUACCUUGGAGUACGGAAUAAUCCUUGGAACGAGGACUAAUACCGUAUCGCCCUUCGGGGGAAAGAAUUUCGCUCCAAGAUCGGCCCGCGUCCGAUUAGCUAGUUGGCGGGGUAAUGGCCCACCAAGGCGACGAUCGGUAGCUGGUCUGAGAGGAUGAUCAGCCACACUGGGACUGAGACACGGCCCAGACUCCUACGGGAGGCAGCAGUGGGGAAUAUUGCGCAAUGGGGGCAACCCUGACGCAGCCAUGCCGCGUGAGUGAAGAAGGCCUUCGGGUUGUAAAGCUCUUUCGGGUGUGAAGAUGAUGACGGUAACACCAGAAGAAGCCCCGGCUAACUUCGUGCCAGCAGCCGCGGUAAUACGAAGGGGGCAAGCGUUGUUCGGAAUCACUGGGCGUAAAGAGCGCGUAGGCGGUUAGAUCAGUCAGAGGUGAAAGCCCAGGGCUCAACCCUGGAAAUGCCUUUGAUACUGUCUAGCUUGAAUCCGUGAGAGGGUGGUGGAAUUCCCAGUGUAGAGGUGAAAUUCGUAGAUAUUGGGAGGA